rnacentral:rRNA from 1 species
AUUGAACGCUGGCGGCAGGCCUAACACAUGCAGGUCGAGCGGAUGACGGGAGCUUGCUCCUUGAUUCAGCGGCGGACGGGUGAGUAAUGCCUAGGAAUCUGCCUGGUAGGGGGGGACAACGUUUCGAAAGGAACGCUAAUACCGCAUACGUCCUACGGGAGAAAGCAGGGGACCUUCGGGCCUUGCGCUAUCAGAUGAGCCUAGGUCGGAUUAGCCAGUUGGUGGGGUAAUGGCUCACCAAGGCGACGAUCCGUAACUGGUCUGAGAGGAUGAUCAGUCACACUGGAACUGAGACACGGUCCAGACUCCUACGGGAGGCAGCAGUGGGGAAUAUUGGACAAUGGGCGAAAGCCUGAUCCAGCCAUGCCGCGUGUGUGAAGAAGGUCUUCGGAUUGUAAAGCACUUUAAGUUGGGAGGAAGGGCAGUAAGUUAAUACCUUGCUGUUUUGACGUUACCGACAGAAUAAGCACCGGCUAACUCUGUGCCAGCAGCCGCGGUAACAC